rnacentral:rRNA from 1 species
UACGUAGGGGGCAAGCGUUGUCCGGAAUUAUUGGGCGUAAAGCGCGCGCAGGCGGUCCUUUAAGUCUGAUGUGAAAGCCCACGGCUUAACCGUGGAGGGUCAUUGGAAACUGGAGGACUUGAGUACAGAAGAGGAGAGUGGAAUUCCAUGUGUAGCGGUGAAAUGCGUAGAUAUAUGGAGGAACACCAGUGGCGAAGGCGACUCUCUGGUCUGUUACUGACGCUGAGGCGCGAAAGCGUGGGGAGCAAACAGG